GGAACAGGCUGGAAAAUGACAAUGUUGCUUCUAAGCAUCUUGGGCUUGUGAUCCUCACUCUUAACAUCUACCAGAACAGGAGGAAGAAGACUGUGGUGGUGCUGAAAUCCUACACUCCGACAGGAGAGAGCAGUUUGCCUGGGUCCCCGGUGCCUAGUGAGAGAGCUCCUCUAACCUGACACCUUAUGAAAACUGCUCAGUCUUCCUCCAUCCAGCGAGGUGAAAUCCUUGUUGAAUGGAGAGAUGGAACAGUCACCCUAACUGACUAAGUGGUGUCUUGUAGAUGAAAAGGUUUUGAGUAACUUGCACAUUGUUCAUUGGUAACUUGCACAAUGCAUUGGUGGCUUUAUUCUGUUUAAUUGUUUGUUUAUAAAAAAAAAUGCUUUAUUCAGAUUAAUCAAAUUGUUUAAAAACAAAUUAAUUGUGAUUCAGCAAUUUUUUUCCUAAAUAAUGACCCAUGUCCAGGGAAUCAUUGCCAAUUUCAUGAUCAAUUUCCGUGUAUUUAUUUAUUUGAUAUGUAGCUGUGGAAUGGGAUAAAAUGAUUGCAAGAAAAUAAAGAUACAAUCACAUA